AAUGGUAUUUAAUUUCAAGGGUGUUCUAAAUAUUAUUUAGGCUAGUACUGAUAUCCGUAUUGUUGAUAAGUAGCAAUACGCGCAACGUCUACCGAAACGUUAAAAGUUUUUGAAGUUAAAUAUAAUAGAAAAUUUAUCUUCUAUCUCUAAAAAGGAACAUGGACUGCUAGAGUAACCAUAUAUUUAGAGAAUAUGGAUUUAGUUACCAAAGUAUUCUUCAACGUUGACAGAAAAAAUAUAUACUUUUCACUGCACAAACUCAGGGAAAAAUUACUUGAAAAUUGGCAAAAAUCAAGGUACAAUGUGCUGACGUAGAAACAAGGUAUUGGAACCAUAUAUAUUUCAAGAAAACUAAUCAAAAUGUUGAAUAUCAGUUAUAAACUCAAUGCAAAGACAAAUUCUAAACUUAGAAUCCUAGAUUUUAUUGCUAAACCAAAGAUAAAUUUUGAAUCUCUGAUUAACUUGAAUCUGAUGAAAAGAUUGUAUAGUUUGCUAAAGAACAGUUUUAAAUAUAUUUUAAAUAUUAUUUUUAAUAUGUUAUGAAUU